rnacentral:rRNA from 1 species
AGAGUUUGAUUCUGGCUCAGGACGAACGCUGGCGGCGGGCCUAACACAUGCAAGUCGAACGAGAUGCCUUCGGGUAUCUAGUGGCGAACGGGUGAGUAACACGUGAGGAACCUGCCCCGAAGACGGGGAUAACCGUGGGAAACUGCGGCUAAUACCCGAUACCCCCGACGCGGCGCAUGCCGUGACGAGGAAAACUCAGGUGCUUCGGGAGGGUCUCGCGGCCUAUCAGCUAGUUGGUGAGGUAACAGCUCACCAAGGCUUUGACGGGUAGCUGGUCUGAGAGGACGAUCAGCCACACUGGGACUGAGACACGGCCCAGACUCCUGCGGGAGGCAGCAGUGGGGAAUCUUGCGCAAUGGGCGAAAGCCUGACGCAGCCACGCCGCGUGGGGGACGAAGGCCCUCGGGUUGUAAACCCCUUUCAGCGGGGACGAAAUGACGGUACCUGCAAAAGAAGCUCCGGCCAACUACGUGCCAGCAGCCGCGGUAACACGCAGGGAGCAAGCGUUGUCCGGAUUUAUUGGGCGUAAAGGGCUCGUAGGC